UACGUAGGGUGCGAGCGUUAAUCGGAAUUACUGGGCGUAAAGCGUGCGCAGGCGGUUUUGUAAGCCAGAUGUGAAAUCCCCGGGCUUAACCUGGGAACUGCAUUUGGGACUGCAAGGCUUGAGUACGGCAGAGGGGGGUAGAAUUCCUGGUGUAGCAGUGAAAUGCGUAGAUAUCAGGAGGAAUACCGAUGGCGAAGGCAAUCCCCUGGGCCUGCACUGACGCUCAUGCACGAAAGCGUGGGGAGCAAACAGG
rnacentral:rRNA from 1 species